rnacentral:rRNA from 1 species
AAGCGGUGGAGCAUGUGGCUUAAUUCGAGGCUACGCGAAGAACCUUAUCCUGGAUUUGACAUGUGCGAAAGCGCCAGGUAGUAGGACCCGGAAACGGGAACGAACCCCGCAAGGGGGAGCCUGGUACAGGUGCUGCAUGGCUGUCGUCAGCUCGUGUCGUGAGAUGUCGGGUUAAGUCCCAUAACGAGCGAAACCCUUACCCUUAGUUGCAACCAUUCAGUUGGGCACUCUAGGGGGACUGCCGGUGUUAAACCGGAGGAAGGUGGGGAUG